UUUUUUUUUUUUUUAAUUUGGCUUUGAUUGCGACACAACCUUAGAGAUGACUCUAGUACCAAUUAUGUUUAAUAACGAUUCAUUUCUAUAGUCUUUUCAGUAUUGGGUUUACUCUCCAUGAUAUGGUCACUGAACUAUUUUUGUUAGUAUAAUAUAGUAUCUUUAAUAAAAGCAUAAUAGAGCAUAAUGAAGUGAAAAAUUAAUAUACAACAAUGAAUAAGAAUCUCUUUUGAUUUUGCUCCAUUACUUUCUAUCAAAUGUAUCAGCAAGUUGAUAAGUAGUGUGUGACUGUGUACAUUGCCUAGGCCCCUUUUGAACAUCCUAAAGAUAUUUUCGUAGGUUAUGCAAGAGUAAGCACAAUGAGCUUUGAAUUUUUGUUGGACUUCAGGGAUCUUGGUAUGGUUGUUGUUGAACUUGAUCCUUGAGAUAGGCCAGAGGUUCAUUGAUCAAGAGGAAAAGGUGAUUAGAGAGGUUUUUUUUGCUUACUUUAACUGAAUUGAAACUCCCUUGCUUGAAAUAAAUGGAGCAAUUGCUAUGAAACUGUACUUUGGGGAAAUGUUGGACAAUCCUUGGACCACAGUCAAUGCCAGAGGCUUCUUGUUAAUAGUCUAUAAAGCUUUAGAUAUAGGCCAUGGGUUCUGAUACAAUACUUCUUGCUUAUGAAUUCCAUUAGCUAUUUGCUUGGUCAAUAGGUCAAUGUGGGACCUUUGGGUUUAUUAUGACAUCAAAUUGUUUGAUAAAAUGUAAAUCUAGAACAACUUUCAGGAAUUAUUUUUAGUGUAUCAUGGAUAUUGAUUUGGCACAUUGUUUAGACACACACACACUCUCUAGGGCGAUAGAAAACAAGCAUUAUUUGACUUAAAUUGUAUUCAAACAAGAAAUUUAUUGACAAUUAUGAUAUCUGAAACAGGAUUGAGAUGCCAUGUUACACAAAUUCCACAUCUUUUACUUCCUCUGAGAUGUUUGGUUUGACCUGUUGCAUCUUCUCUUUGAAUUUUUCACUAAUGAUCAAGAUCCAUAUACCUUUCAGGUCUCUAGAUCUAUUGGUGAU
rnacentral:misc_RNA from 1 species